AUUGAACGCUGGCGGAAUGCUUUACACAUGCAAGUCGAACGGCAGCACGGACUUCGGUCUGGUGGCGAGUGGCGAACGGGUGAGUAAUACAUCGGAACGUGCCCAGUCGUGGGGGAUAACGUAGCGAAAGCUACGCUAAUACCGCAUACGAUCUAAGGAUGAAAGCGGGGGACCGUAAGGCCUCGCGCGAUUGGAGCGGCCGAUGGCAGAUUAGGUAGUUGGUGGGGUAAAGGCUCACCAAGCCGACGAUCUGUAGCUGGUCUGAGAGGACGACCAGCCACACUGGGACUGAGACACGGCCUAGACUCCUACGGGAGGCAGCAGUGGGGAAUUUUGGACAAUGGGCGCAAGCCUGAUCCAGCCAUUCCGCGUGCAGGAUGAAGGCCCUCGGGUUGUAAACUGCUUUUGUACGGAACGAAAAGGCUCUGGUUAAUACCUGGGGCUCAUGACGGUACCGUAAGAAUAAGCACCGGCUAACUACGUGCCAGCCGCCGCCGUAAGAC
rnacentral:rRNA from 1 species